GAUGAACGCUGGCGGCGUGCCUAAUACAUGCAAGUCGAGCGAUGAAGCUUGGUGCUUGCACCAAUUUGAAGAGCAGCGAACGGGUGAGUAACGCGUGGGGAAUCUGCCUUUGAGCGGGGGACAACAUCUGGAAACGAAUGCUAAUACCGCAUAAUAUCUUUAAACAUAAGUUUUAAGAUUGAAAGAUGCAUUUGCAUCACUUAAAGAUGAUCCCGCGUUGUAUUAGCUAGGUGGUGAGGUAAAGGCUCACCAAGGCGAAGAUACAUAACCGACCUGGGGAGGUGGACCGCCAACAUGGGACUGGGACACGGCCCAAAACCCUAAGGGAAGCAACAAUAGGGAAACUUCGGCAAUGGGCGAAAGUCUGGCCGAGCCACGCCGGGGGGGUGGAGAAGGUUUUCGGGUCCUAAAACUCCGUUGGUAGGGGAGAAAGUUGGUGAGAGUGAAAAACUCAUCAAGUGACGGUAACUACCCAGAAAGGGACGGCUAACUACGUG
rnacentral:rRNA from 1 species